rnacentral:rRNA from 1 species
CAGCCGCCGCGGUAAUACCGGCGGCCCGAGUGGCGGUCACUAUUAUUGGGCUUAAAGCGUCCGUAGCCGGGUUGGGAAGUCCUCCGGGAAAUCUGGCCGCUUAACGGUCAGAAUGCCGGAGGAUACUCCCAGCCUAGGGAGCGGGAGAGGCCGAGGGGAUUCCCGGGGUAGGGGGGAAAUCCUAUAAUCCCGGGAGGACCACCUGUGGCGAAGGCGCUCGGCUGGAACGCGUCCGACGGGGAGGGACGAAGGCCAGGGGAGCAAACCGGAUUAGAUACCCGGGUAGUCCUGGCUGUAAACGAUGCGGACUUUGUGUCGGACAAGCUAUGAGCUUGUCCGGUGCCGGAGGGAAACCGUUAAGUCCGCCGCCUGGGGAGUACGGCCGCAAGGCUGAAACUUAAAGGAAUUGGCGGG